AUUGAACGCUGGCGGCAUGCUUUACACAUGCAAGUCGAACGGUAACAGGCCGCAAGGUGCUGACGAGUGGCGAACGGGUGAGUAAUGCAUCGGAACGUGCCCAGUCGUGGGGGAUAACUACUCUAAAGAGUAGCUAAUACCGCAUACGAUCUAUGGAUGAAAGCGGGGGACCGUAAGGCCUCGCGCGAUUGGAGCGGCCGAUGUCAGAUGAGGUAGUUGGUGGGGUAAAGGCUCACCAAGCCAACGAUCUGUAGCUGGUCUGAGAGGACGACCAGCCACACUGGGACUGAGACACGGCCCAGACUACUACGGGAGGCAGCAGUGGGGAAUUUUGGACAAUGGGCGCAAGCCUGAUCCAGCAAUGCCGCGUGCAGGAAGAAGGCCUUCGGGUUGUAAACUGCUUUUGUACGGAACGAAACGGCUCUGGUUAAUACCCGGGGCUAAUGACGGUACCGUAAGAAUAAGCACCGGCUAACUACGUG
rnacentral:rRNA from 1 species